rnacentral:lncRNA from 1 species
CGGCGCGCCCUGCGGGAGCAGCUGGAGCAAAUGCAUCGGGAGAGGACGGAGCGGCUGCGGGCCCUCGGGGCCAGGAACACCCAGAACUUCCUGGAACUACUGUGUUCCCCUGGUGCUGAGGAUCCCGUGCCUGCGAAGUAGUGCUCGCCCUUCCCAGCACCCUCUGGUCAUUGCUGAGUCCUCAAAGGGAUGAUUAAAGUGAUGAGGGUUACGGAAAAAGCAAGAGGGCAACUUGCAGGUCUGAUAGUUUCAGAAAGGCCUGAAUGCAACCUCAGGGACAGGGAGAGCAGAGGGGCACAGACACACACAGCAGCUUUGCCCC